rnacentral:rRNA from 1 species
CAAUAGCGUAUAUUUAAGUUGUUGCAGUUAAAAAGCUCGUAGUUGGAUUUCGGUUGAGAGCGGCCGGUCCGCCGUUUGGUGUGCACUGGUUGGUUUUAACUUCCUGUAGAGGACGUGCUCUGGGUUUAACGACCUGGACUCGGAGUCUACGUGGUUACUUUGAAAAAAUUAGAGUGUUCAAAGCGGGCUUACGCUUGAAUAUUUCAGCAUGGAAUAACACUAUAGGACUCCUGUCCUAUUUCGUUGGUCUCGGGACGGGAGUAAUGAUUAAGAGGAACAGUUGGGGGCAUUCGUAUUUCAUUGUCAGAGGUGAAAUUCUUGGAUUUAUGAAAGACGAACUUCUGCGAAAGCAUUUGCCAAGGAUGUUUUCAUUAA